rnacentral:rRNA from 2 species
GACGUAGGGUGCGAGCGUUGUCCGGAAUUAUUGGGCGUAAAGAGCUCGUAGGCGGUUUGUCGCGUCGACUGUGAAAACCUACAGCUUAACUGUGGGCUUGCAGUCGAUACGGGCAGACUUGAGUUCGGUAGGGGAGACUGGAAUUCCUGGUGUAGCGGUGAAAUGCGCAGAUAUCAGGAGGAACACCGGUGGCGAAGGCGGGUCUCUGGGCCGAUACUGACGCUGAGGAGCGAAAGCGUGGGGAGCGAACAGG